AGCUAUAAGGUAUAGUAUUACCCUUAUAGCGUAGCAAGUAGCAUGUAUCA
rnacentral:ncRNA from 1 species